GGUGAUAUAGCUCAGCCGGUUAGAGCGCGGGACUCAUAAUCUCGAGGUCGGUAGUUCGAAUCUACCUAUCACCA
rnacentral:tRNA from 1 species